CCAACUAAUGCACUUGUCCUCUUUAUGAUGUUAUCUACCAGGGGAUACUUAGUUGUGCCAUGGUGAUACCGAGAGAGGCAAUUGCUAAGUUAUGAUACUCUCAUACCUUUACUAGAUGCGAACAAUUUCGGAGGAGAAGAAGAAGAAGUGGAAUCGGACAAGGAUUUUAUUUGUACUGUGGGAAUUCUUAUUUGAUGGAGUUGAAGAAGUCCAGGGACAAAUAAGCCAAGGCAAGCCAUCUUUUGAUCUCUGAUAUGAUGUCUCUUUGGAUGUCAUCUUGUGCUAUCAAUAGCAUCUUGGUUCUAUGUGUGAUGAUCUC